rnacentral:rRNA from 1 species
UACGUAGGGUGCAAGCGUUGUCCGGAAUUAUUGGGCGUAAAGGGCUCGUAGGCGGUCCAUCGCGUCGGGUGUGAAAAGCUGGGGCUUAACCCCAGUCCUGCUUCCGAUACGGGUGGACUAGAGGUAGGUAGGGGAGAUCGGAAUUCCUGGUGUAGCGGUGAAAUGCGUAGAUAUCGAGAGGAACACCUGCGGCGAAGGCGGGUUGCUGGGCUGACACUGACGCUGAGGCGCGAAAGCGUGGGGAGCGAACAGG